GUUUUUCAGUGUUUUUAAAGUCAGAUCAAAACAAUUCUGAAGUCAAAAUCAAAAUAUUAGUCCAGGAGUAAUUGUUUAAAAUGCCUCAAAGGAGCAUUGGUGCUUAUUAACCUGAUCGAGUCAGUUAAGAAAGGCCCUACAGAUAAUUAAAAAUAAUUAAAUCAAUGAAAAAUCUAGAAAAUCUGUGUAAAAUAAAUAUAUUUACUUUUA